rnacentral:rRNA from 1 species
CACCGCCCGUCACACCAUGGGAGUGGAUUGCACCAGAAGUACCUGUGCUAACCGCAAGGAGGCAGGGUCCCAAGGUGUGGUUCAUGACUGGGGUG